rnacentral:rRNA from 1 species
UACGUAGGCAGCAAGCGUUGUUCGGAAUUACUGGGCGUAAAGAGUGUGUAGGCGGUGCUCCAAGUCUGGUGUGAAAUCUCCCGGCUUAACUGGGAGGGUGCAUUAGAAACUGGAAUGCUAGAGGAUGGGAGAGGUAAGCGGAAUUCCUGGUGUAGCGGUGAAAUGCGCAGAUAUCGGGAAGAACACCCGUGGCGAAGGCGGCUCUCUGGGACGGUACUGACGCUGAGACGCGAAAGCGUGGGGAGCGAACAGG